rnacentral:lncRNA from 1 species
GGCGAAUACAGGAUGAUUUUCAGUGAGCUGUGAUGGAGAGACAUGGACCAGCAUGGAGCAUUUGGGAAAUGCAAUGCAAAAGCAUGUACCAUCACCAUCACACCAACAACAAUAACUAUUUGUUGAGAGUUUAUGCCAGGUAACGUGCUGAGUGUGUAAUCUGUGUGCUGAUGAAUUGUUUGAUUUUUGAGAAUUCUUGUGGAUUUUACUGUGUAGCAACACAGUAUUCCUGCAGAUGUCACUCUUUUCCUGCAGAAUGCUACCCCCUGAGACCUUGAGCCUUAUACUGAGAUAGGGCUGAGAAACAAGUGAUUUUAGAAUCAGUGUACUAAGGUAAAAAAAAAAAAAAUCAAUAUGUUAUCUAUAUUUAAUUUGCAGUUCCUAAAUAAAAAUCAGAC